AGAGAGGGAGGGAGGCGCUUCUUUGAGUGGAAGGUGACUGACAGGAACAGUACGUGGUCGAGGGUCUAGAAUGGGGUGUGAGAAAGUGGAAGAGAGGUCUGAGACGGUCUGGAAACAUGCGAUGGAGCGAUAGAUCACUUUGGAGUGGUACAGGGAAAAGGAAGCCCCGCAGUGUGUCAGCUGGUAUGAUGGAAGCCUGGAUCUUCUCUUCCAAGCUCGAGCGCAGUGUAUGAAUGUGAAUGCAAGAAAUUACAGGUGGCCUGAGUCCCGCAGCAAAGUGUGUCAGAUGUGUGACAGGGGUGUGGAUGAAACUGUCGGGCAUGUGGUGUGUGGGAGGUACCGGAGAGAAAGGACGGAGAUGAUGAGGGUGGCAAUGAGUGAGGUGGGCUGGGAUGUGAAUGGGAGGAUUGCAAGGACAGAGAGGGAAUGGAUGCUGCUGCUGCUGGGACUGAGUGAUGAAGCAAAUGAGAGAAUUAUAAAAACCAUGAGGAGUUUUCUGGAAAAGAUGUGGUGUGCAAGAAAUAGGGAAUUGGAAGAUUUGUAAUGGAUAUAUACUGCUUGUGUUGUUUUAUUUUACAGGUUGUGCCGAUACGAAGGCCUGACUCUCCAACGGGUCACCUGUACAGCAAGAGCAAGAGCAAGAAGAGAGUAAACACAGUCUCGUGUGUAUCCCCGACCCCGACCUUCAGGAGAAGACCAAGAAGAAGGAGAAGAAAUCACCAAAUGACUGGCCCUUUCACUUGGCAGCAUCAACUCACCAUUCAGCCGCUGACCCCCAGUGACAGACUUCCGGGAGACUGGAAGGUUAGCAGAGCACACGUGUGGCAACCAAAGAGCAGCUGUUAAGUAGCAGACGAGACAUAGAAAGGUAGUGGUGUCCACCAUGCUGGGAGGAGGACAGCGCUAAGUGACUGCACCUGACUCUGUGUGUGUGUGUCCUGACGUCCACCGCUGGUGCUGAAGUGAGGGUCUGAGGUGGGCAGCACAGGGCCAGAAGACAGCACCUGACUCUGUGUGUGUGUGUCCUGACGUCCACUGCUGGUGCUGAAGUGAGGGUCUGAGGUGGGCAGCACAGGGCCAGAAGACAGCACCUGACUCUGUGUGUGUGUGCCCUGACGUCCACCGCUGGUGCUGAAGUGAGGGUCUGAGGUGGGCAGCACAGGGCCAGAAGACAGCCCCGACUCUGUGUGUGUGUGUCCUGACGUCCACCGCUGGUGCUGAAGUGAGGGUCUGAGGUGGGCAGCACAGGGCCAGAAGACAGCCCCCGACUCUGUGUGUGUGUGUCCUGACGUCCACCGCUGGUGCUGAAGUGAGGGUCUGAGGUGGGCAGCACAGGGCCAGAAGACAGCACCCGACUCUGUGUGUGUGUGUCCUGACGUCCACCGCUGGUGCUGGUGCUGAAGUGAGGGUCUGAGACACUUGCUGUGCUCAUCACUCACUGUCCUUGCUCCUUGGUGCAUCCUUCCCUUCACCUGCUUGCUUGGUCCCUGAGUAGCGGUGAGGAAGACUUGCUGCCCCCUCGGCUGCAAGGCCGGGCAGCAGCCUGAGUGGCCAGGAGCAGCAGAGCAGACUGCCACUGGUGUGAGGAUCAGGGGCGAUCAGAAGAACCACCACCACCACCACCACCCUGCUGCUGCUGCUGCCUUCUCCAGCCAUAAGGAAAGGGAAAGUUUGAGUGGAAGGACUGUGAGGCAGUUUGGGACUGAGAGCAAGUUCAUCAGACACAGCCUUGCACACACUGCUGAGGGAAAGCAUGAGUGCCAGGAGUUUGA